UCGAUGAAAAGAUACACAAAGAUAAAAAGAUACAAAGAGCGAAAAUAAAUGUAGGCCUAAAAGUAGGCAAUGGUUUUGGAGGAUGUCCCAACUGUAAGCAAAGGCAAGCGCAAAGGUAAUCAAGGUCCGUCCACAGAUUUAAAAAAAAAAGUCGCAUAAUAAUGUACAAAUACUUUGCGCGGGUGCGGUCAUAGCUAGGACAUUCCUCUGAAAUGAGCAUAGGGUGUGAAUUGUCAAAGGAAUUCGGAAUGUGGAAAUUUCAAAAAUUUAUUACCGAUUAGCUAGUUUAUAGCUUAAAGUGGGUAGGGCUCCGCCUUCAUCUCAGGGAUGAUAUUCCUUGUUCCAGUGCCACAUUGACACUGGAGACUAAAAUGGCUUUGGAAUUCGGGCCUAUAAAACUGCCCUUAACCCCCAAAUUCGGCCUAUUUGCCGCUUCACCUGCACACCAGCCACAUCGAAGUCUCUGGGAAAAUAUUUCUUUUUCGAUCUUCAGAAUAGUAUGCAUUAACAUAAUGUUAUAAUUAACCUAUACGCGCUGAGAUACGAUUGUAAAAUUCAAGGAAAAGUGAAAAGAAGGCCACAAUUCAACUUAGAUCAUCGCAAAUCUCCCCACCCCGCAGUACCAAAAAGCUUGCUGCUGAGAACAAAAAGAGAGGGAGAGGGGAAGGCAAACCUGGCUCGUCAGCAGGUGCUGAGU